rnacentral:rRNA from 1 species
AUUGAACGCUGGCGGCAUGCCUUACACAUGCAAGUCGAACGGUAACAGGUCUUCGGAUGCUGACGAGUGGCGAACGGGUGAGUAAUACAUCGGAACGUGCCUAGUAGUGGGGGAUAACUACUCGAAAGAGUGGCUAAUACCGCAUGAGAGCUACGGAUGAAAGCAGGGGAUCGCAAGACCUUGUGCUACUAGAGCGGCCGAUGGCAGAUUAGGUAGUUGGUGGGAUAAAAGCUUACCAAGCCGACGAUCUGUAGCUGGUCUGAGAGGACGAUCAGCCACACUGGGACUGAGACACGGCCCAGACUCCUACGGGAGGCAGCAGUGGGGAAUUUUGGACAAUGGGCGAAAGCCUGAUCCAGCAAUGCCGCGUGCAGGAUGAAGGCCUUCGGGUUUUAAACUGCUUUUGUACGGAACGAAAAGCCCCGGGUUAAUACCCUGGGGUCAUGACGGUACCGUAAGAAUAAGCACCGGCUAACUACGUGCCAGCCGCCGCGGUAA